GGAGUAGAUAGGUGCUGGUGUGCCUGCCGGUCUUCAAAACCGAGUUGUCGUGCUAAGACCACGAUGGGUGGGUUCGAUUCCCACAUAUUCC
rnacentral:tRNA from 25 species